UGCGUAGGCGGGGCAAUUAGUCAGUGGUGAAAUCCUGCGGCUUAACCGUAGAACUGCCAUUGAUACUGUUGCCCUUGAGUAUAGUUGAGGUGGGCGGAAUGUGUAAUGUAGCGGUGAAAUGCAUAGAGAUUACAUAGAACACCAAUUGCGAAGGCAGCUCACUAAGCUAUCACUGACGCUGAGGCACGAAAGCGUGGGGAGCGAACAGGAUUAGAUACCCUGGUAGUCC
rnacentral:rRNA from 1 species